rnacentral:tRNA from 1 species
CUCGCGAUAGCUCAGUUGGUAGAGCGGAGGACUGUAGAUCCUUAGGUCGGCGGUUCGAAUCCGUCUCGCGAGA